CUGUCAUCCCACGUCCUCCCCGUUUGAGCGCUGUUCACGGUAUGAUGACGCAAACGCGACGUAGACUGUGGCGUCACUCGUGCCAGUUAAUACAUUGGGCACGCACUGUUGAAAAUACUUUGGGAUGUUGAGUUGGGUUCAUUUUGAAAAUUUCUUGAAAAUAGGGAGAACCUACUGAAAAAACGAGCUCGUGUGCUUAUAUCUGUCUUGUAGCCAACGUUACAUCUACUGGAUGUCCCGCGACAGCAGGCCAUGAAAGCCUGCUUCUGAUAUGUUUGCGUGGAAAUUUGGAACCAAUAUAAUGAAAACUGUUCGUAACACAAAAGAAAAAGUAAACAUCCUUGCAGAGUAAUAAAAACUUAUUAACUCGG